GACGAACGCUGGCGGCGUGCUUAACACAUGCGAGUCGAACGGAAAGGCUCGGCUUUUGUGGGCGGCUCGAGUGGCGAACGGGUGAGUAAUACGUGGGUAACCUGCACUUCCCUUUGGGAUAACUUCAAGAAACUCGGGCUAAUACCGGAUAGGAGCUCCUGCUGCAUGGUGGGGGUUGGAACGUUUCCGCGGUUGGGGAGGGACGCGCGGCUUUUCAGCUUGUUGGUGGGGUAGUGGCUUACCAAGGCCUUGACGGGUAGCCGGCCUGAGAGGGUGACCGGACCAGUUGGGCCGGGAAUACGGCACGGCCCAGUCUGGGAGGGAGGGGUGGGGAGGAGUAUAUAAUGGGCGGAGGGCAAGCGUAGCCACGCAGCGCGGGGGAUGAGGGGAUUGGGGUUGGAAUGCGAUGUCGCCUGUGCCGGAGCGUUGGUGACGGUAACGGGUAAAGAAGCACCGGCUAACUACGUG
rnacentral:rRNA from 1 species